rfam:Parcubacteria bacterium GW2011_GWB1_43_6 TV98_C0002, whole genome shotgun sequence.
GCCCAGGUGAUGAAACUGGUAAACAUGUAGCGUUCAGAACGCUAUGCCGAAAGGUCUGGGAGUUCGACUCUCCCCCUGGGCA